CCUACGGGAGACAGCAGUGGGGAAUAUUGGACAAUGGGGGGAACCCUGAUCCAGCGACGCCGCGUGAGUGAAGAAGUAUUUCGGUAUGUAAAGCUCUAUCAGCAGGGAAGAAAAUGACGGUACCUGACUAAGAAGCACCGGCUAACUACGUGCCAGCAGCCGCGGUAAUACGUAGGGGGCAAGCGUUAUCCGGAUUUACUGGGUGUAAAGGGAGCGUAGACGGUGCAGCAAGUCUGAUGUGAAAGGUCGGGGCUCAACCCCGGGACUGCAUUGGAAACUGGUGAAUGGGAGUACAGGAGAGGUAAGCGGAAUUCCUAGUGUAGCGGUGAAAUGCGUAGAUAUUAGGAGGAACACCAGGGGCGAAGGCGGCUUACUGGACUGUAACUGACGUUGAGGCUCGAAAGCGUGGGGAGCAAACAGGAUUAGAUACCCCUGUAGUC
rnacentral:rRNA from 1 species